AUUGAACGCUGGCGGCAGGCCUAACACAUGCAAGUCGAGCGGAUGAAGGGAGCUUGCUCCUGGAUUCAGCGGCGGACGGGUGAGUAAUGCCUAGGAAUCUGCCUGGUAGUGGGGGAUAACGUCCGGAAACGGGCGCUAAUACCGCAUACGUCCUGAGGGAGAAAGUGGGGGAUCUUCGGACCUCACGCUAUCAGAUGAGCCUAGGUCGGAUUAGCUAGUUGGUGGGGUAAAGGCCUACCAAGGCGACGAUCCGUAACUGGUCUGAGAGGAUGAUCAGUCACACUGGAACUGAGACGCGGUCCAGACUCCUACGGGAGGCAGCAGUGGGGAAUAUUGGACAGUGGGCGAAAGCCUGAUCCAGCCAUGCCGCGUGUGUGAAGAAGGUCUUCGGAUUGUAAAGCACGUUAAGGUGGGAGGAAGGGCAGUAAGUUAAUACCUUGCUGUUUUGACGUUACCAACAGAAUAAGCACCGGCUAACUUCGUG
rnacentral:rRNA from 1 species